rnacentral:rRNA from 1 species
GACGAACGCUGGCGGCGUGCUUAACACAUGCAAGUCGAACGGGGUCCAAGUGAUCGCAAGAUCAUGGAAGACCGAGUGGCGAACGGGUGCGUAACACGUGAGAAACUUGUCCCGGUCUCUGGAAUAACAGUUGGAAACAGCUGCUAAUACCGGAUGCCGUCGGACCACCGCAUGGUGGACUGACGAAAGGGUUACCGGAUCGGGAGAGUCUCGCGGCCUAUCAGCUUGUUGGUGAGGUAACGGCUCACCAAGGCAUCGACGGGUAGCUGGUCUGAGAGGAUGAUCAGCCACACUGGGACUGAGACACGGCCCAGACACCUACGGGUGGCUG